rnacentral:misc_RNA from 1 species
GAUGAAGAACGCAGCGAAAUGCGACAAGUAAUGUGAAUUGCAGAAUUCAGUGAAUCAUCGAAUCUUUGAACGCACAUUGCGCCCGCCAGCACUCUGGCGGGCAUGCCUGUUCGAGCGUCAUUUCAACCAUCAAGCCCCCAGGGGCUUGUGCUGGGGCCCUGCGGCUGCCCGCAGGCCCUGAAAACCAGUGGCGGGCUCGCUAGUCACACCGAGCGCAGUAGCACAUCUCGCUCAGGGCGUGCGGCGGGCUCCUGCCGUGAAACCCCCCACUGUAACCCCAAAGGUUGACCUCGGAUCAGGUAGGAAUACCCGCUGAACUUAAGCAUAUCAAUAAGCGGAGGA